GACGAACCGUGCGAACGUUGUUCGGAAUCACUGGGCUUAAAGGGCGCGUAGGCGGGCCAUAAAGUCAGGGGUGAAAUCCUCCAGCUUAACUGGAGAACUGCCUUUGAUACUGAUGGUCUCGAGUAAGGUAGGGGCAUGCGGAACUGAUGGUGGAGCGGUGAAAUGUGUUGAUAUCAUCAGGAACUCCGGUGGCGAAGGCGGC
rnacentral:rRNA from 1 species